UGGGGAAUUUUGCGCAAUGGGGGCAACCCUGACGCAGCAACGCCGCGUGCGGGACGAAGGCCUUCGGGUCGUAAACCGCUUUCAGCAGGGAAGACAGCGACGGUACCUGCAGAAGAAGCCCCGGCUAACUACGUGCCAGCAGCCGCGGUAAUACGUAGGGGGCGAGCGUUAUCCGGAAUCAUUGGGCGUAAAGAGCGCGUAGGCGGCCCCUCAAGCGGGAUCUCUAAUCCGAGGGCUCAACCCCCGGCCGGAUCCCGAACUGGGGGGCUCGGGUGCGGUAGAGGAGGAUGGAAUUCCCGGUGUAGCGGUGGAAUGCGCAGAUAUCGGGAAGAACACCGAUGGCGAAGGCAGUCCUCUGGGCCGCCACCGACGCUGAGGCGCGAAAGCCGGGGGAGCGAACAGG
rnacentral:rRNA from 1 species